UCGAGAAUUUUUCUCAAUGGGGGAAACCCUGAAGGAGCGACGCCGCGUGGAGGAUGAAGGUCUUCGGAUUGUAAACUCCUGUCAUUUGGGAACAAACCUUUCAUUUAACUGAUGGAAGACUGAUAGUACCAGAAGAGGAAGAGACGGCUAACUCUGUGCCAGCAGCCGCGGUAAUACAGAGGUCUCAACCGUUGUUCGGAUUCAUUGGGCGUAAAGGGUGCGUAGGCGGUCGCGCAAGUCGGAUGUGAAAUCUCAGGGCUCAACCCUGAAACUGCAUUCGAUACUGCGUGGCUAGAGUGCUGGAGGGGAGACUGGAAUUUACGGUGUAGCAGUGAAAUGCGUAGAUAUCGUAAGGAAGACCAGUGGCGAAGGCGAGUCUCUGGACAGCAACUGACGCUGAGGCACGAAGGCCAGGGGAGCAAACG
rnacentral:rRNA from 1 species